GACGAACGCUGGCGGCGUGCUUAACACAUGCAAGUCGAGCGGUAAGGCCCUUUCGGGGGUACACGAGCGGCGAACGGGUGAGUAACACGUGGGUGACCUGCCCUCAGCUCUGGGAUAAGCCCGGGAAACUGGGUCUAAUACUGGAUAUGACUCCAUGACGCAUGUUGUGGGGUGGAAAGCCUUGUGCGGCUGAGGAUGGGCCCGCGGCCUAUCAGCUUGUUGGGGGGUG
rnacentral:rRNA from 1 species